rnacentral:rRNA from 1 species
UACGUAGGGUGCAAGCGUUGUCCGGAAUUAUUGGGCGUAAAGAGCUCGUAGGCGGCUUGUCACGUCGGCUGUGAAAACCCGGGGCUCAACCCCGGGCCUGCAGUCGAUACGGGCAAGCUAGAGUUCGGCAGGGGAGACUGGAAUUCCUGGUGUAGCGGUGAAAUGCGCAGAUAUCAGGAGGAACACCGGUGGCGAAGGCGGGUCUCUGGGCCGAUACUGACGCUGAGGAGCGAAAGCGUGGGGAGCAAACAGG